rnacentral:rRNA from 1 species
CUGCUGAACAGCUAGCUCAGAAAGUAAAUUCAACCUUUAGUUAUUAAUACCCCCUAAUGCACUGUAUUUACCAAACAAACCAUUUUUCCUCUUUAGUAUAGGCGAUAGAAAAAGAAGUAGAAGCUAUAGAAAAAGUACCGCAAGGGAAAGCUGAAAGAGAAAUGAAACAACUUAAUAAAGCGUAAAGAAGCAGAGAUAUGUCCUCGUACCUUUUGCAUCAUGUUUUAGCUAGAAUAAGUCGAGCAAGGAGAUCUGUAGUUUGACAUCCCGAAACUAAGUGAGCUACUUCGGAGCAGCCUAAACAUAGGGCACACCCUUUUCUGUGGCAAAGAAUGGGAAGACUCCCAAGUAGAGGUGACAAACCUACCGAACUUAGUUAUAGCUGGUUGCCUGUCAAUUGAAU